rnacentral:rRNA from 1 species
AACGAACGCUGGCGGCAUGCCUAACACAUGCAAGUCGAACGAGACCUUCGGGUCUAGUGGCGCACGGGUGCGUAACGCGUGGGAACCUGCCCUUAGGUUCGGAAUAACUCCCCGAAAGGGGUGCUAAUACCGGAUAAUGUCUUCGGACCAAAGAUUUAUCGCCUUUGGAUGGGCCCGCGUUGGAUUAGCUAGUUGGUAGGGUAAUAGCCUACCAAGGCGACGAUCCAUAGCUGGUCUGAGAGGAUGAUCAGCCACACUGGGACUGAGACACGGCCCAGACGCCGGAGGGAGGCAGCAGUGGGGAAUAUUGGGCAAUGGGCGAGAGGGUAAUACAGCAAUACCGCGUAGGUGAAGAACGACCUCGGGCUGUGAAGUGAUGUUGUUGGGAGGGAAAAAAAGCUUUUUAACCCGGCAAUGUAAUGACGGUACCGAAAGAAUAAGCACCGGCUAACUCCGUG